CCCAGACUCCUACGGGAGGCAGCAGUGAGGAAUAUUGGUCAAUGGCCGAGAGGCUGAACCAGCCAAGUCGCGUGAGGGAUGACGGCCCUACGGGUUGUAAAUCUCUUUUGUCAGGGAGCAAAGGGCGCCACGUGUGGCGUUUUGCGAGUACCUGAAGAAAAAGCAUCGGCUAACUCCGUGCCAGCAGCCGCGGUAAUACGGAGGAUGCGGGCGUUAUCCGGAUUUAUUGGGUUUAAAGCGUGCGCAGGCGGAAUGUAAAGGCAGCGGUAAAAUUGCGGGGCUCAACCUCGUCGAGCCGUUGAAACUGGGUGCCUUGAGUGGGCGAGAAGUACGCGGAAUGCGUGGUGUAGCGGUGAAAUGCAUAGAUAUCACGCAGAACUCCGAUUGCGAAGGCAGCGUACCGGCGCCCAACUGACGCUGAAGCACGAAGGCGUGGGUAUCGAACAGGAUUAGAUACCCGAGUAG
rnacentral:rRNA from 1 species